AAAGUCGUAACAAGGUUUCCGUAGGUGAACCUGCGGAAGGAUCAUUACCUAGAGUUGUAGGCUUUGCCUGCUAUCUCUUACCCAUGUCUUUUGAGUACCUUCGUUUCCUCGGCGUGUCCGCCCGCAUGGAUGAACAUUUAAACCACUUGCAGUUGCAAUCAGUGUCUGAAAAAACAUAAUAAUUACAA
rnacentral:misc_RNA from 1 species